rnacentral:tRNA from 1 species
GUUUUUGUAGUUGAUAUACAACGGUGGUUUUUCGGGCCGCAAGACUCUAAUGAGCAAGAAUU